rnacentral:tRNA from 1 species
GGACGGUUCGCUCAGUCAGUUGAGCAUGGUGCUGCUAACACCGAGGUGGCGGGUUCAAUUCCCAUUUGGUUCC